UACGUAGGGACCAAGCGUUGUUCGGAUUUACUGGGCGUAAAGGGCGCGUAGGCGGCGUGGUAAGUCACUUGUGAAAUCUCCGAGCUUAACUCGGAACGGUCAAGUGAUACUGCUGUGCUAGAGUGCAGAAGGGGCAAUCGGAAUUCUUGGUGUAGCGGUGAAAUGCGUAGAUAUCAAGAGGGAACACCUGAGGUGAAGACGGGUUGCUGGGCUGACACUGACGCUGAGGCGCGAAAGCUAGGGUAGCAAACGGG
rnacentral:rRNA from 1 species